rnacentral:lncRNA from 7 species
CUCCAGGGUUAGGCUUCUCCCAUGGGCCCAUCCAUGUCUCGCACGCAUCAGGGCAAGCAUGGCGUCUGGGACUGAGCCGCAGGAGACUCACAUGACACUGGUGAUGCUGCUCCUUGCCUCUCUUGGCACUGGGGGUUCAGCAGCAGGACAGGACGCCCUGCUCCACUGCCUCUGACAGGUCUCUCCAGGCUGCCUCCUGGAACUCAGGGCCCAGAGUGGCCACAUGCUCUGGGAGAGCCGACAGCAGCAGCUGCUGGAGCUCCUGCUCAGCUUUGCUGCAGCGGUUGCCGCUGAGGCAGGAGCACCGUGGCCCACGUGUCUGUCUGUCUGCACCUGCAAAACACGGAGGGGGCAUGAGCCACAGCAGGAUGGGGCACCAGUUAUGCCCUUGGCCCAUCAGACCGACCUGCAGCGUGCCAGGUCCUGGUCUAGGGUUGGGCUCCUCCCAUGGGCCCAUUCCCAGCUUGGAAAAGACCUCCGAGAUCAUCAAGUGCAACCGCAACCUAAGCACGCUACCCUAACGCUAACAAGCCUGCGCUAAAUCAUGUCCCUGAGCACCACACCCAAACGGUUUUUCAACACGUGCAGGGAUGGUGACUGCGCGGUGGUCCCCUUCUCUGGGGAACGUACCACAUCUUCCUUGGAGGGCUAUCUGUUCUUCACGGCUCGCAAGAGUUGCCUUCACAGGGUGAAGCCUCACGUCUCUUCUUCCAUUGCUUUCUCAGUGCCCCCUUCCCUAGAACAAGCUGCCCGACUUUGCUGCCCACUGAGCCCAGGCUUCUGGACCCAUCACCGCAGCAUCACAGCAGCCAGGCAACGACACCUGAAAUAUUUUCGCACGUCC